UAGAUUCCCCUCGCUGCAUUACCUGUUUUAUACCGUACUGAGAGGAAUGAAAACUGGAUCCGACUCAAGGACCCAAGAACAGGAAAACCAACCUACCCAACAGAUAUAGAUUGUAACCAGUGCAAUCGAUCGGACGUCCAGGAUUUUACCAAAAAGUGCAUUAACCUUGGCAUCCAAUACAUUGGGCUAUGCUGCGGGAACGCCCCUCAUUUCACCCGAACCAUGGCCGAAACACUCGGGAGGAAACCCCGAGCGUCCCGGUAUGCUCCCGACAUGUCUCUCAGCGUGGUCUUCGGGACAAGUGACAAGAUAAAAGGGAAUUGCUCCAAGCUCUACACCAUAGGAUCAUCAAAGCCAUGUGAAAAUGGCAAUACUACUAUUGAUAACAACCAAUGAUUUCCAUCCUCAAAUCUCUCGGCCAUCUCUUCUCAAUCCCCAACCCUACCAUCGCUGUAUUGUUUUUCCAUAAUAUAUAAACGAUGAGUUUGACUCUAAA